UACGUAGGGUGCAAGCGUCGUCCGGAAUUAUUGGGCGUAAAGAGCUCGUAGGCGGUCUGUCGCGUCUGCUGUGAAAACUCAGGGCUUAACCCUGAGCUUGCAGUGGGUACGGGCAGACUAGAGUGCGGUAGGGGAGACUGGAAUUCCUGGUGUAGCGGUGAAAUGCGCAGAUAUCAGGAGGAACACCGGUGGCGAAGGCGGGGUCUCUGGGCCGUAACUGACGCUGGAGGAGCGAAAGCAUGGGGAGCGAACAGG
rnacentral:rRNA from 1 species